rnacentral:rRNA from 1 species
AGUGAACGCUGGCGGUAGGCCUAACACAUGCAGGUCGAACGGCAGCACAGUAAGAGCUUGCUCUUACGGGUGGCGAGUGGCGGACGGGUGAGGAAUACAUCGGAAUCUACUUUUUCGUGGGGGAUAACGUAGGGAAACUUACGCUAAUACCGCAUACGACCUACGGGUGAAAGCAGGGGAUCUUCGGACCUUGCGCGAUUGAAUGAGCCGAUGUCGGAUUAGCUAGUUGGCGGGGUAAAGGCCCACCAAGGCGACGAUCCGUAGCCGGUCUGAGAGGAUGAUCAGCCACACUGGAACUGAGACACGGUCCAGACUCCUACGGGAGGCAGCAGUGGGGAAUAUUGGACAAUGGGCGCAAGCCUGAUCCAGCCAUACCGCGUGGGUGAAGAAGGCCUUCGGGUUGUAAAGCCCUUUUGUUGGGAAAGAAAAGCAGCAGGUUAAUACCCCGCUGUUCUGACGGUACCCAAAGAAUAAGCACCGGCUAACUUCGUG